rnacentral:rRNA from 1 species
AUACGGAGGAUCCGAGCGUUAUCCGGAUUUAUUGGGUUUAAAGGGUGCGCAGGCGGCCAUUUAAGUCAGCGGUUAAAUCGCGGGGCUCAACCCCAUUCUGCCGUUGAUACUGGGUGGCUUGAUUGCGGUCGAGGUUGGCGGAAUUCGUUGUGUAGCGGGGAAAUGCAUAGAUAUGACGAAGAACACCGAUUGCGUAGGCAGCUGACCAGACCGCAAAUGACGCUCAUGCACGAAAGUGCGGGGAUCGAACAGGAUUAGAUACCCUGGUAGUCCGCACAGUAAACGAUGAAUACUUGUUUUCGGCGAUAUAAUGUCGGAGGCAAAGCGAAAGCGAUAAGUAUUCCACCUGGGGAGUACGCCGGCAACGGUGAAACUCAAAGGAAUUGACGGGG